UACGUAGGGGGCUAGCGUUGUCCGGAUUUAUUGGGCGUAAAGAGCGUGUAGGCGGCCAGGUAGGUCUGGUGUGAAAACUCGAGGCUUAACCUCGAGAUGUCAUCGGAAACCAUUUGGCUAGAGUCCGGAAGAGGAGAGUGGAAUUCCAGGUGUAGCGGUGAAAUGCGUAGAUAUCUGGAGGAACACCGGUGGCGAAGGCGGCGUUCUGGACUGCAACUGACACUGAUGAACGAAAGCCAGGGGAGCAAACGGG
rnacentral:rRNA from 1 species